GAUGAAGAACGUAGCGAAAUGCGAUACUUGGUGUGAAUUGCAGAAUCCCGUGAACCAUCGAGUCUUUGAACGCAAGUUGCGCCUCAAGCCAUUAGGUUGAGGGCACGUCUGCCUGGGCGUCACAUAUCGUUGCCUGAUGCCAGUUUCCUCGUGAUGGGUGACUGUGCAGGGCGAAUGAUGGCUUCCCGUGAGCAUUGUUGCCUCAUGGUUGGUUGAAAAUUGAGUCCUUGGUAGGGAGCGCCGUGAUAGAUGGUGGUUGAGUGACGAACGAGACCCAAUCAUGUGAGACCCCUACCGAAUUUGGCCUUCAUGACCCACAUGCAUUUUUGGAACGCUCAUGACGAGACCUCAGGUCAGGCGGGGCUACCCGCUGAGUUUAAGCAUAUCAAUAAGCGGAGGA
rnacentral:misc_RNA from 1 species